UACAGAGGUCUCAAGCGUUGUUCGGAUUCAUUGGGCGUAAAGGGUGCGUAGGCGGCGCGGUAAGUCGGAUGUGAAAUCUCGGAGCUUAACUCCGAAACUGCAUUCGAUACUGCCGUGCUUGAGGACUGGAGAGGAGACUGGAAUUUGACGGUGUAGCGGUGAAAUGCGUAGAUAUCGUAAGGAAGACCAGGUCGGCGAAGGCGGGUC
rnacentral:rRNA from 1 species